ACCAUUGAACACCCCUCCUCAUAAAACCCUUAUAAAGCUCCUCUUAAGAGAUAAGGUCCAUGAGGAAUUUAAGUGGCACUGGCAGCAAAUUAAGAUGGCUGAUCAUAAGGUCUCUCUUAUCCUCGUUAUUGUCCUCUUAAUUUCGGUCCAGAUGGGAGCUGCCAGCAGAAGGGAAAGGGAAAUCAUCCUGACCGGAGAAAAGGAAAGACACCGCAAAGAGUAUUUCCAUGUGAGUAAAGUGAUCCGGCGCCCUCCUCAUUGCUCACCACGGGAGCCACCAUACGGUAGAGGAAGCCCAAGACCGAGAAGGCGAUGCCCCCUCCCCCCGGCAGAGACUACUCGAGACUAAAGCAUACUAUUAUCGUGCAUGAUCUUUGUUUUCUUAGAUUGUUUCUUGGUGGUGGUGGUGAUUUUUAUUGUGUAUUUUGCAGCUGAUCAUCCCAAUUUAAAAAGGCUCUGAAAAUAAGCUCUUCUUUUUAAAAAUGCAAUGGACAAUAAAUUAUUCAAAUCCA